UACGAAGGGGGCUAGCGUUGUUCGGAAUUACUGGGCGUAAAGCGUGCGCAGGCGGCCAUUUAAGUCAGGGGUGAAAGCCUGGGGCUCAACCCCAGAACUGCCCUUGAGACUGGAUGGCUGGAGUGCGGGAGAGGUGAGUGGAAUUCCCAGUGUAGAGGUGAAAUUCGUAGAUAUUGGGAAGAACACCCGUGGCGAAGGCGGCUCACUGGCCCGUAACUGACGCUCAGGCACGAUAGCGUGGGGAGCAAACAGG
rnacentral:rRNA from 1 species